AUGACUAUUCAUAUGUCGGUGCUUAUUGGGCCGAGCGUUAUUUAUUAUUUAGUUGGUAGGGCUGCGCCAAAACAUUUGAGUUGGGGUUCUUUGAAAAUUGGAAAAAAUGGGGAAGCCCAAGAAGGAAGGAAGUCAUGCACCCACUAUACAGCCAUGCAGGUGAAGAGGGUGCAACCUUCAACUUCUCGAGGGGCCAACGUCGGGACUGACGCACGGAUGGUUCAGCGUUUUUUUGAUUUACCACUUGGAGGAAAACACCGUGGGAAAGACCUCCCGCUUCAAUGCCCUUAAACCAGGACUUCGGGUUUAGGGUUGAGAUCGCGCAUAUCAGCCCCACCCCACUCCCCCCAGAUCUGGCGCGUGGUAUUGAGUUUGACUUAUUUAAACUCACAUUCCAAUUCAGAUGAAAACGAUGUGGGACAAAUAAUAGUUUAUAUCUUUCUCGUUGCAUUAUUGUUGAGAUCACGAAAGGUAUCAGAUUCAGACCUCUCUGAAAGGGCAGCGACAGUGUCAAACUUCAAAACCCUAACCAGUUAAAGUGUUAAACCUCUCAAAAGCCAAAACUCUCGCGCUCGUCACGAGAAACUAACUACACAGUCUACACGUUCCGAUGGACUCACAGCAGGAACAGUCGUCGUCGCUUGAAAGUUGCUCGACGCUGUUGAAAGGAGAGAGACGAGCAACGCCUAGCCGGUUUUCUUCUGGUGACCUAGUUUUGCAAAGGGACUAUCUGGCUUCCGCUUCGCACGGUUUAUGAUGCAGUCGGUAAUCUUUUUCUGGAUCGUGUCUUCGACGUUCUCCUGACAGAAGCAUGGAUAGGUCACAGGCAAAGGAAGUGAUAUUCUUGUCUCCGUACAAGUUAUUGGGAGCUAUCUUGAAGAAGCACCAAUUGCUUGCAAAGAGGUCACAUAUAUGUGCUUUCCAUUGAAGGGGAAGAUGAACCCAGGUUUGUUAAUUUUGACUACUUAGUUUUUGUGGAAUGUUGCCUGUUUGUUAUUUUCUUUCCCCCUUUUGUAUUUUCAGAUAAUUGUACUUAGCACCUACUAAGUGAUCAUAUCAAACCGUCCUUUUUAAUCAUUAUGCUUUAUGCUUUAUGCUUCCAAUCCUUUGUCUAAUCACAACGGAAAUUGAAGGAUGUAAAGCUGUGGCUUCUUCAGCAGGGAUGUAGCUGGAGAGAAUUUGUGUUGAGGGUGUGAAGCCAACUGUUCUAUGGUCUGGUGUAUAGAUUGGGAUCACCAUGGAGGUUCCUGCACUCCUAGAAUCCAGGCAUUCUUUCUCCUUGUAUUUUCUUGUCCCUGGUGAGUACACCAUAGUAGCUGCUGCAGUGAUUGAUGAUGCUAAUGACAUCCUCAGAGCUCGUGCAAGAACUGAUUCCCCUGACGAGCCAAUCUUUUUCGGGGGCCUCCACUCCAUGUCCGUGUUAAUGGAACUCUGUGAGUUUUCUUGCAAUCUAUGCCUCUCAUAGUAGCUUUACUUCUUCAUAUCAGAUUUAGAAGUGGUCAAACCAAAAAUGAUGCAUCAUCUUCAUCUUAGUUGGCACUACUUGUCAUUUCCUUGCCAUCGAUUCAUCAUUUGAUUCUUCUCAUUAGUUCUAUAUUGGCAUUUUUAAUCGUAUAUUAUUAUAAUUUUCAUGUGUUUGUAAAUCCAUCUUUUACUGUUGUGAGAUUAAUGUUGUUUCUCCUUCAUGGGUUAUGAUAUUCUUAGAUUUUGCACGGGUGUGUCAAAUAAGUGUGUUUCCUCAAGGUUCGUUAGUAGUUUGUUCAGUGUACUGGGCUGGUUUAAGCCCAAACUAGAUUGGUUCGUCACCAUCAUAGCUGUGCUAAUUGGGUUGGCCCAGAUAUGUAUUGGUCGCAUGGUGGAAGGGGUAGUGAAUGUUGUUUGAGGCCCAAUAUUUUGACAUAAUGAGCUUCGACCUGAAAAGGUUCAGUUAGACGCGAUUGAAAUGGCAUGAGCCCAAUUUAACGGGACUCAUGCGUUAUGCCCAAGUAUAAUGUGGGUGGGCCCAAUUUAAUGGUAUUUAGGCCAAAAUCAAAUAUGCGUAAAUCCAUCCGAAGUGUCUGAGCCCAAUUUGCUGUUCGGAUCGAAGUCGGAUUGUACUUGCCCAAUGGAAGUAAAAAUCCAGUUACAUGCGAACUGGGCCUAAUUGACAACUACAUUCGAAAUAAUGAACUUUUAACCUUGUUGUGGUUCAUAUUGACAAAGUGGUAAUAACUAAAUCAGUGAUACUACAGGUUUA